CACGUAGGGCGCAAGCGUUGUCCGGAAUUAUUUGGGCGUAAAGAGCUCGUAGGCGGUCUGUUACGUCUGCUGUGAAAACCCAGGGCUUAACCCUGGGCUUGCAGUGGAUACGGGCAGACUAGAGGCAGGUAGGGGGAGAAUGGAAUCCUGGUGUAGCGGUGAAAUGCGCAGAUAUCAGGAGGAACACCGAUGGCGAAGGCAGCAUCCUGGACCGGUAUUGACGCUGAGGCGCGAAAGCCAGGGGAGCAAACGGG
rnacentral:rRNA from 1 species